CGGCCGCGUCGACCGCGAAGAACCUUACCAGGGCUUGACAUCCUACUAACGAAGCAGAGAUGCAUUAGGUGCCCUUCGGGGAAAGUAGAGACAGGUGGUGCAUGGUUGUCGUCAGCUCGUGUCGUGAGAUGUUGGGUUAAGUCCCGCAACGAGCGCAACCCCUAUUGUUAGUUGCUACGCAAGAGCACUCUAGCGAGACUGCCGUUGACAAAACGGAGGAAGGUGGGGACGACGUCAAAUCAUCAUGCCCCUUAUGUCCUGGGCCACAGUCGACGCGGCCG
rnacentral:rRNA from 1 species